UGGUUUUCAAUCAGAUCCUAAUUUUACUUUGCUUCUCCGCCUCUCUUCUCCUCUCUCUCUCUCUCCGACCAGCCCUCCGCCGCCCGCCGUCCCCCGUCAGCCCACCGUCAUCAGCCCUCCUCCGUCAGCCCUAAUCCAUCUCUUUCGGCCUCUGAACGGCACCCCCAAUCUCCAUCCUCCUCUAUCCACCGCCGUCCGCCGUCCCCCAUCAGUCCUCCACCGCCGCCAGCCCUCCUACGUCGCCGCUGCCAAUCUCCGUCCUCCUCUAUCCACCGCCGUGCGCCGUCCGUCCCUCAACAACUUGAAGGUAUACUUGUUGAGUAAAACAUGCCAAAAGAUAGGAGUUGGGUUUUAUUAGAUGACCGUCGGUUAGAAAUAUAUCAAAAGGUGUGUGUGGAAUUUAUGGAUUUUGCCUUUGCUAAAUGUGACGUUGAUAAUAAAAUAAGAUGCCCAUGUAGAGACUGUAAGUGUCGUAAAUGGGGGGAUCGUGAAUUCGUGCAUAAACAUUUACUUUGGAGGGGUUGGGAUAAACUUUAUGGGCAACGCCGAUGGACUCUGCAUCGAGAGUCCGAAGAAGAAUACAAUGGCGAGGAAAUGAACAAUACUAAUCAUGCAUAAAUUCUCGAAGUUGCAAUCUUAAAUGAACCUGGUGAUGUAUGUGUUGAUGUUAGUGAUAACAUGGAUGACUUGCUCGAGCGUUUUAGACAACAAGAAUUACAAUCCUCAACGGCGACUCGUCCUAAUGAUAGUGGAGUAUAAUAAUCAGAUGAAAUUAGUGUGCCUCUUAAACUAAUACAUUUAUGCUUUCAAGUUUUUAUGUACUUUUUGAAUUGAUGUUUGUGUACUAUCUUGAUAUUUAAUUCGUAAUCGUGGUUUUAAUAUU